CGACGACGACUGCAAAAUCUCGUUGGAGUAGAUUAGGUUAGGUUGUCUGAAAUUAGAUACAAUCAAUGAACUCCUACAAUCGUUGUAUACUCCGCGCGUGUUUUGGCCUGGUCGCCUUGUUGUUUUACUGCGAAUACGCCGUUCAUUACCUCGUCAUUUUUCAAUGCGGGUGGCCAGAUCUAGACGCCCAAAAAGCAGACCCAGCUAUUCUGCUGAACAAUGCAGAAGAACCGCCUGUGAAAGUCAUGUUUUUAGCCGAUACCCACUUGUUGGGUUCCAGAAACGGUCACUGGUUCGACAAGUUAAGAAGAGAAUGGCAAAUGCACAGAGCAUUUCAGACAGCGAUGACUAUUCACAAGCCGGAAUUGGUCUUCAUACUAGGGGACAUAUUUGACGAGGGACUUUGGUGCAGCCGUGCCGAAUUCGAACGUUACGUCGCUAGAUUCAAUUCCCUGUUCUACGUUCCGCAAAAUACACAGCUAUAUGUCGUUGCUGGAAACCACGACAUGGGCUUUCAUUACCAAAUCAUCCCUUACUUAAAUGAAAGGUUCGUUAACGCGAUGAAGGCGCCCAGUGUUGAGCGAGUUAGUGUGAGGGGAAAUCAUUUCGUUCUAAUGAACAGCAUGGCGUUGGAAGGAGACGGAUGCUUCCUUUGCAAGCCUACAGAAAUGGCGCUGAAGAGAAUUGCCAAGCAGUUGAAAUGUACGAAAGGUAUCGGAAGUAGCUGCAAAAGUAAAGACAUUCUGAAACAGUACAGCAGGCCGAUACUUUUGCAACACUAUCCGAUGUACCGUGAAUCUGAUGAAAUUUGCCACGAGGUUGACGAAGCUCCGGCCAAUAUAAAAAACGAGAAAUUCCGAGAACGUUGGGAUUGCCUGUCGAAAGAAGCGUCCGAGCAAGUUCCUUUUGGACAUAAUGGAACCGAGACUUAUAGUCGAUGGACACACGCAUCAUGGCUGCAGGAAAAUUCACCGUAAAAAUAUCCUCGAAUUCACCGUUCCGUCUUUCAGUUGGCGCAACAAAAACAAUCCGUCAUUUUUACUCGGUGUAUUCACGCCGAACAAUUACAUGGUAUCAAAGUGUUACAUGCCUCUCGAGACCACGGUCAUAAAAAUAUAUAUAACCGGUUUUAUCCUAGUAUUUCUUUACGUCGCACUCAAAGUUAGAAGACGUUUCAUUUAUCGUCGUCUGCUGAAGGUUGAUUAGUAAAAAACGAAUUCAUGUAACUGCGUAUACAAAAUCAC